ACUGUAAGGAGAGGAGUUCCAGUUCUUAAGAUUUGGAAAUCCUAGUGCGCUAUUGCACCUGCUAGAAAGAACAGUUGAACUGCCAUUGGCCCGGGUUCAGCCUUUACUUUGAAUUAGACUUAGGCUUUAACGGGGCUUCUUCCUAAAUAUAAAUUACCAAAUUAUUUAAGACUGAUGCAAGGCUUGAAUAGACAGGAAGAGA
rnacentral:lncRNA from 1 species